CAGCCGCCGCGGUAAUACGUAGGUGGCAAGCGUUGUCCGGAAUUAUUGGGCGUAAAGGGCUCGCAGGCGGUUUCUUAAGUCUGAUGUGAAAGCCCCCGGCUCAACCGGGGAGGGUCAUUGGAAACUGGGAAACUUGAGUGCAGAAGAGGAGAGUGGAAUUCCACGUGUAGCGGUGAAAUGCGUUGAGAUGUGGAGGAACACCAGUGGCGAAGGCGACUCUCUGGUCUGUAACUGACGCUGAGGAGCGAAAGCGUGGGGAGCGAACAGGAUUAGAUACCCCGGUAGUCCCUGUCUCUUAUAA
rnacentral:rRNA from 1 species